CCUAUUUCUACUCCAGUUCCAGGCCAACGUCCUCGCUCAGGCGACACCGCUACUGAGGGGAUCAUUGACACCCCACCCCACGCCUGCAAAGCCCACAAACACCCAGGCCACAACGAUUCCCCCUCCAACAAGCGCUGCUCGACUGGAUUUGCCCUCACCAAGCACAGCCUAGGCUCCAGGGGUCACCACACAUGAUAAGCCAACCUAACAGCCAAGAGUUCUCCCCCUUGAACAACCGCAAUCCACAAAGUGGCUCACGGGAACCCGCACUCACCGAGCACCAAUGUAUAUGCACCACGUUUGUAACAAAUUGUUGAAAUGUCGAUGAGAGAGAACGUAUG